rnacentral:rRNA from 1 species
GACGAACGCUGGCGGCGUGCUUAACACAUGCAAGUCGAACGGUGAAGGGAAGCUUGCUUCCCGGAUCAGUGGCGAACGGGUGAGUAACACGUGGGCAAUCUGCCCCAGACUUUGGGAUAACUACUCGAAAGAGUAGCUAAUACCGAAUAUUCAGCCUUGCAGGCAUCUGCGAGGCUGGAAAGUUUCUCGGUCUGGGAUGAGCCCGCGGCCUAUCAGCUAGUUGGUGAGGUAAUGGCUCACCAAGGCGACGACGGGUAGCCGGCCUGAGAGGGCGACCGGCCACACUGGGACUGAGACACGGCCCAGACUCCUACGGGAGGCAGCAGUGGGGAAUAUUGCGCAAUGGGCGAAAGCCUGACGCAGCAACGCCGCGUGCGGGAUGAAGGCCUUCGGUGUAACGACUUCAGCAGGGAAGAAGCGAAGUAGA